CUCAAAACCAAAUUCUCUAGAUUUAGUUGAUUAUCUAGUUAGUUGUUAUGUAAACUAAUUAAGCAAUUAAACAUUCUCCCCUUGUAGCAAUUUUGUUUGGAAGAAUGUUUGAUAAAGAUUGGAUUCAUUUGAACAGAGCUACUGAUGAAUACUUGCGGGGUGCAUGAAACUUUGUCGAACAAGUGAAAAGUAAGUUGGAUGGGGUGGACAAAAUAUUAUGUCCCUACAAGAUAUAUAGGAACAUGAAUCACCAAACCUUUGAUUCUGUGUAUGAACAUUUGGUUAUUAAAGGUAUGGAUUUGACUUAUUAGAUUUGGUA